ACCUGGCCAGCUUAGUCGGUGGAGCAUGUGACUCCUGAUCUCAGGGUUGUGAGUUCAAGCUCCACGUUAGGUG
rnacentral:tRNA from 1 species